AUUGAACGCUGGCGGCAUGCCUUACACAUGCAAGUCGAACGGCAGCACGGGUGCUUGCACCUGGUGGCGAGUGGCGAACGGGUGAGUAAUACAUCGGAACGUACCUUAUCGUGGGGGAUAACGCAGCGAAAGCUGUGCUAAUACCGCAUACGCCCUGAGGGGGAAAGCGGGGGAUCGAAAGACCUCGCGCGAUUAGAGCGGCCGAUGCCUGAUUAGCUUGUUGGUGGGGUAAAAGCCCACCAAGGCGACGAUCAGUAGCUGGUCUGAGAGGAAGAUCAGCCACACGGGGACUGAGACACGGCCCAGACUCCUACGGGAGGCAGCAGUGGGGAAUUUUGGACAAUGGGGGCAACCCUGAUCCAGCAAUGCCGCGUGAGUGAAGAAGGCCUUCGGGUUGUAAAGCUCUUUUGUCAGGGAAGAAACACCGGCUCUAACACAGUCCGGGAAUGACGGUACCUGAAGAAUAAGCACCGGCUAACUACGUGCCAGCCGCCGCAGUAA
rnacentral:rRNA from 1 species